rnacentral:rRNA from 1 species
UACGUAGGGUGCGAGCGUUAAUCGGAAUUACUGGGCGUAAAGCGUGCGCAGGCGGUUUUGUAAGCCAGAUGUGAAAUCCCCGGGCUCAACCUGGGAAUGGCAUUUGGGACUGCAAGGCUUGAGUGCGGCAGAGGAGACUGGAAUUCCUGGUGUAGCAGUGAAAUGCGCAGAUAUCAGGAGGAACACCGGUGGCGAAGGCGGGUCUCUGGGCCGAAACUGACGCUGAGGAGCGAAAGCGUGGGGAGCAAACAGG